GCAAGUCGAACGAACCUUCGGGUUAGUGGCGGACGGGUGAGUAACGCGUGAGAAUCUGCCCUCAGGAGGGGGAUAACGGCUGGAAACGGCCGCUAAUACCCCAUAUGCCGAGAGGUGAAAUGAAUUUCGCCUGAGGAUGAGCUCGCGUCUGAUUAGCUAGUUGGUGUGGUAAAGGCUCACCAAGGCGACGAUGGGUAGGGGGCCUGAGAGGAUGAUCAGCCACACUGGGACUGAGACACGGCCCAGACUCC
rnacentral:rRNA from 1 species